UGGGGAAUUUUGGACAAUGGGGGCAACCCUGAUCCAGCCAUUCCGCGUGAGUGAAGAAGGCCUUCGGGUUGUAAAGCUCUUUCAGCAGGAACGAAACGGUCGGCUUUAAUAAAGUCGGCUAAUGACGGUACCUGCAGAAGAAGCACCGGCUAACUACGUGCCAGCAGCCGCGGUAAUACGUAGGGUGCGAGCGUUAAUCGGGAAUUACUGGGCGUAAAGCGUGCGCAGGCGGCGACAUAAGACAGAUGUGAAAUCCCCGGGCUCAACCUGGGAACUGCGUUUGUGACUGUGUUGCUAGAGUGUAGCAGAGGGGGGUGGAAUUCCACGUGUAGCAGUGAAAUGCGUAGAGAUGUGGAGGAACACCGAUGGCGAAGGCAGCCCCCUGGGUUAACACUGACGCUCAUGCACGAAAGCGUGGGGAGCAAACAGGAUUAGAUACCCCUGUAGUCCCUGAGCGGGC
rnacentral:rRNA from 1 species